rfam:Gossypium arboreum cultivar AKA8401 contig_54613_1, whole genome shotgun sequence.
AACCCAUGGUGAGGGCACUUUCUCAAUAAAUCCUUAUACCUCUCCCAUGCAUCAGAUAGGGUUUCCAAAUCCAUCUGUACGAAGGAAGAGAUAUCAUUCCUCAGCUU